rnacentral:rRNA from 1 species
GAGCUGACGCAGCCACGCCGCGUGCCGGAUGAAGGCCCUAUGGGUUGUAAACGGCUUUUGAGGAGGAAGAACGACUGGAUUUCGAUCUGGUGUGACGGUACUCCUUGAAUAAGCACCGGCUAACUCCGUGCCAGCAGCCGCGGUAAUACGGAGGGUGCAAGCGUUGUCCGGAAUCAUUGGGUGUAAAGGGUGCGUAGGCGGGCUAUUAAGUCUGGGGUGAAAUCUUGCCGCUUAACGGUAAAAUGGCCCUGGAUACUGGUAGUCUUGAGUGUAGAAGAGGUAAGUGGAAUUCGUAGUGUAGCGGUGAAAUGCAUAGAUAUUACGAAGAACAUCAGUGGCGAAGGCGGCUUACUGGUCUACAACUGACGCUGAGGCACGAAAGCGUGGGGAGCGAACAGGAUUAGAUACCCUGGUAGUCCACGCUGUAAACGAUGCAUACUAGGUGUUGGCCUUUCGGGGCCAGUGCUGCAGUUAACGCAUUAAGUAUGCCACCUGGGGAGUACGUCGGCAACGAUGAAACUCAA